GUGCUUGCUUUGGUAGCACAUAUACUAAAAUUGGAAUGAUACAGAGAUUAUCAUGGCCCCUGGGCAAAGAUGAUGUGCAAAUUUGUGAAGCAUUUCAUGUUUUU
ensembl:snRNA U6 U6 spliceosomal RNA